rnacentral:tRNA from 1 species
UGGCUCAGAGAUUUAAGAGCACUGGACUGCUCUUCCAGAAGUCCUGAGUUCAAUUCCCAG